UGCUGAGCCCAUCUCUCACUUCAAACACAAGCUUUUGUUCCAGGCCACAGCAUCGAACUGAUUCCCUUCAAAAGGAAAAAUGUUCUAUAGCUGAAGGUCCAGAAAUAGAAGUGGUGUGUGUGUAUAUAUAUACACACGCACGUACGUGCACUGGGCUGCAGGUAUUUCAUUUACACUGGGGAAAUUUUGAGAAAGCUGGGAACCCUUCCUUUGAUUCAUGUGCCCCUCCUUUGACUCCUGCAGAAGUUCUUGUCUGGGCAAGGACUGUGGGGGGGAACCUGCUGACACUCAGCUUUAAUAAAGGCCUUUUCUUUCGCACAGUCCUACAGCGAAGGCACAGGCUCAUACCUGGGCCAUGGGUCGGUUGCCAUGGCAAUGACUGUGGAGUCACAAAUAAGGCAGUAUUAUGUUCUCUCAGCAAGACCAGAUGAGAGCUGGAAGCUAGAGAGAGAAAAAGGAAGAGGGAGACAGAGCUAGGGAGAGAGAGAGAAUAGAAAUAUCUUCUAUCAAUAGCGAUGCAGAAAGGAAACACAAAUAAAGCGAUGGGGUGCUGUUUGGGAGAAAGCAGGUUUGAGACAGGGUAAGGCAAGAGUAGAGGAAAUGGCAUUAUUUCCUUUGAGGGAGAUCUUUCAUUUUCAGAGGAAAAGAGGGAAACCCAUUCCAAAAGAGCCCCAUGUACCUCCCUCUCUUCUACUUGCUUCUUUCUCUCCUUCCUCACUGGGUAACCAUGCAAAAAGCCUGCAAAAGAAGGGUUGGGAGGAGACAAGAUGGAACAGAAGGCAAAAGGGAGUAGGAGGCAUAAAGCUGAGCACUACUGGGUCUUCCCAGGAUGAGACCAGGAGCAGCUUCAGACUCUCCUCCCAGCAUCAUCAACACAGAAUCACCAAGUUGCCAAACAGGACCAAGAUGUUUUCUUCAAAUAUUAGAACGUUGAUAAAACUUCUCUGUCAUCUUCCUUCAAAGGUCACAUUCAUAACCAUCAGCUACAAUUUCCAGUUUCCAUUUCUUUAAAAUAAAGAGAAAAUUUAAGGACAAUUAUGAGGUAAUCUGAGUGCAAAAUCCUUCCAUAUUUUUGUAUUUCUCUGCAAUCAUUUAUGGUUGUCUCACCCACACCUAAUUCAACAGUAAUUUUUUAGCAACUCACAUUUAUUGAGUCUUUUCAAAGCAUGGAAUUUUGUUUUCAAAGAAAUAGCUCUCUUUUCAUACUCAAUGUUCAUUGGCUUACAUAAUAUUUAA